rnacentral:rRNA from 1 species
CGUGGAGGAUGAAGGCCUUCGGGUCGUAAACUCCUGUCAGAGGUGAAGAAUGCCCGCAAGGGUUUGACGGUAACCUCAAAGGAAGCCCCGGCUAACUACGUGC